ACACACACAUACAUACACAAUGACUGAUGCCUUCUCUUUCUCCCUCCUUUUCUAUCUCCCUCAUUCUCUGUCUCUCUCUUUCUCUCUCUCUCUCCUUCUCUCCUUCUCCAAGCUCUCUCUCUGCUCCACCGCCAAUACUUUUUUUUCCCCCUUCCGUGUGUUUGUUCUCUUGGUGGCGUACGGAGGAACCGGUUAUGUGCAGCUCCAGCGCGUGCUGUCCCAGUGACUAGCCUAGCAGCAGCCCUGCCUCUCUCUCCAAAAAACAAUUUCAACACGAUGGCUGUUCUUUUUUUCCGAGUCAUAUCUUUUUUUAGGUAUUUUUUUCCUCUUCAACCCUCUUCUCUUCCCGGAGUCCGGGCUACAAGCAGGCGAGUAAAAACUGUGAAGAAAGGUGACUGCGUGGAGGGAAGAUGAGGAGGCAGAAAAGGAGAGCAAGAGAGAAGGGAGGACGGGAACAGGACCGGAGCAAAGACUGGUGCUGAGCUGAAAGCAGUAACGAUAGAGCCAGGACGACAGGAGAGAAGGAACGGCCGACGAUCGAAUUGGAAUCGGACGAAAUCGCGGGAAACAGGGAAAAGGGCGAGAGGCAUCGGAUCACGGCUGAUUGAAGGCCUAUCUCUUGUUUGGGGCAGCUGCCUACCGCACUCGUUAAACAGAACCUGCUGUACAUUGUCUUUGUUAGAAAAGGAGUCAUGCUCUCUGUCUACCAAGAGGUGGCGCUGCCCUGCGGUAUCUUCCCUUUGCAGAACUUUCCCUGUCGAGGAUCAUCAAGGGGGAAAGGCGGAUGUGGUGGAGACGGUACUCGAUGACUUGACAAAAUGGAUCCAGGGCUUCUCCUUCUUCCCAGCACGCCAUUUUCGCCAUGGCACAGUUACGCCAUCUGUUUGAGCAGUGAUGAGCUGUGCUGCGUCUCUGACCGGCAGACUGGAGAAGAAGCACUGUGAUGCAGCAGAAUGCAAAUGUCAGAUGAGGUCAUGUCUCAUGCUGAGACUGCGGGCCGAUGAUAAUAAUAAUAAAAAAAAACUAAAAAAAAAUAGUUUCUCACACAAAAUGUCUGUUGAAGUCCAUUUCCCAGUAUGCCCCUCUGUCCCUGAGACCCUUAACCUGUGAGGUCAUAGUAGGUCACAGGUGAGGUCCUCGGGAACAGGGCUGCAUUCAGUGUCAUCGUCUGAGCCUAAAAUCUCCUUUAAAGUGAUGUUGGAUGACUUGCUAGACUUGUUGGUUUGCUUUCACCAUUAUCACAGUGGGCACUGCGUCAACACUCAUGGCCCAAAGCCAAAUCCCAAACAGAUAAGUGUUUGGAAGUUAGCUUGUUUCAUCCAGUUUCCAUCUGGCUGUUUCUGUGUUGACCGAUGUGAUGUGGACCUCUCAAGAUGCAAACAAAGCCUGUCGUGUCAAACAACAUAAGCAAAUCCUGCUUGAAGGAUUUCUCGGGAAUGGAUUCCUGGACAAGAGGACAUUUAAUCCUCCCGCUGCAGAGGAAAUAUUAGGGGGCUGACCCUAUUGGCUGGCUUCGUGUCUCUCCAGUGGGACCCAAUAAGAAGGCAGUCUAGGGUUGAGACCCCGUCAUAGUCAUCGUCUUCAGAAAACAUCUGUAAACUUCAAGAUUUAAAGCCCACUUGUGCUGAAUUAGCAUGUAUUUCUUGUUACGUGUCGCAUUUGAUGUUUAUUAAAUAAAGAUGUGUAUUAAAUUUGGUUUGACACCCCGUGUGAAUGUGUGAAGAAAGCAGGAUGCAAGUCUGACAGGGCGGUGUGCGAGAAGCUCUCGAGGUGUUGAGCGUUCAGUAAUCUCAUGAAGCACAAUUUCCCCUACCAUCGUCAUUGUCUAGCCCCCACACAGCGCUGAGAAAUGGGGACACACAGGGCAGCGAGCACAAUCUUUGCCAGACAGACCAAGGAUGCGCUAGCAAACACUUCCCGCAGACACGUUUGACCACACACACUCGUCUUCAUUACGUCCCAUCGUACGCCCAUUCCAGAAAAUGAUCGUCUUCUAGCUACACUAGGAAGACAUGAGCAGAGUGCUUGGAUGUGAAAAUAUUGCAGUCCCGCACGACG